GUGUUUGCUUCAGCAGCACGUAUCCUAAAAUUGGAACAUUACAGAGAAGAUUAGCAUUGUCCCUGCGCAAAGAUGGCAUGCAAAUUCAUGAAGCAUUCCAUAUUUUU